CCCUGCCAUUUGUACACACCGCCCGUCGCACCUACCGAUUGAAUGAUUCGGUGAAACUUUCGGACUCUAGCAGAGACGCUUUCGGGCGACUCAGCCGGGGAAAGUUAUUUAAACCUCAUCAUUUAGAGGAAGGUGAAGUCGUAACAAGGUU
rnacentral:rRNA from 1 species